AAGGGGUGAAGGGCGGGAACAUGGACAGCAUCUGAUUUAACAGACUCCUAGCUGGAGUUAAACCCUAAACCCUACUUCCUUAAAUGGAGGGUCCUGAUUUCACUAGAGGGUGGUUUGUCCAGUGUUUUCCCCCUCCAAAAAACGAAAACGCUGAUGCCCUGCUUCCAUGAUUCCCACGUGGGGCCCACCAGAAGGCUUGCAGGUAGUGAGCUGCGAUGUCUUUCAUGGCGUUUAGCGGCGAGCUUUAAUCCUCGCCUUCUAUAGUAACCCCUAUUUUUU
rnacentral:telomerase_RNA from 1 species